AUGCCCGUGCGCUCUCCUCUCGCUCCACACUUCGCUCUCAGUCCCUCCCAACCCUCUCCCGUCGCAGCGCAGCCGCGGCGGGCGCCCAUGGCAGAAUUCUUCAGGUCACUGAUCGUUACUGCCAACACAAUUGCUACCAUGAUAAUUCAUCCCUCGCUUUGCCAGAGUGAGGAAUUGCUUGCAUGGAUGGAGUGCCCAAAUUGCAAGUACCGCAUUGAUAAUACUGAUGUUUUAUCACAGUGGCCAGGACUCCCUGCUGGUGUUAAAUUUGAUCCAACUGAUCUCGAACUGCUUGAACAUUUAGAAGGAAAGGUUGGCGGGGCAGCGUCCCAUGUACUAAUAGAUGAUUUUAUUCCAACCAUAGAGGAGGCCCAAGGAAUCUGCUAUACACAUCCGGAAAAUCUCCCUGGUAUCAAGAUGGACGGGAGCACCGGUCACUUCUUCCACAAAGUAUCCAAUGCAUACGUUGUUGGCAAGCGUAAGCGUCGCAAGAUUAGCAAUAGUGAGCACACUGUUUGUGAUGAGAAUCUCAGAUGGCACAAGACUGGAAAAUCCAGAUCUAUCUUAGAUAAUAACGGUGUCAUAAAAGGGUGGAAGAAAAUAUUGGUUCUUUACAUAGGUUAUCGGAAAGGAGGUGGCAAGACAGAGAAAACUAAUUGGAGAAUGCAUCAGUACCACCUUGGGGUAGAUCAAGAUGAAAAGCAGGAGGAGCUUGUUGUUUCCAAAGUCUUUUAUCAGGUGCAGUCAAUGAAUGCUGGGCCCUCUGCAGACUCGUUGCCUCUGCAGACUCGUCGCCCAAACGGUAGUCCAUCCGGAACCGAGCAGAAUCAGGAGGAAGGACAGUCCGGCAUGUCUACUGUUCGGGAAGCCGUGGAAUGGCUCGCUGGAAGCUCGUCGCAUGCCGUGGAGGACGCACCGCUGUCUGGCCUGGAUGAGCACCUGUCAAGCGACGGAACCCCGGACGCCGCAUACCCUGUGGGGCAGCCUCUGCCUCUUGACGCGUCGGAGGCGCUCCAGGGGUUCGCCGACCUCGGAGCGCCUCCGGAUGUCUCCCUUCCGCCCCACACGCAGUUCGGGCGGCAGGAUAGCAUGGAGAUGUGGCUGGUCAGCGUGUUAACAGAGGAUGAGGGUGUGUUUGAAGCAGCGGAGCAACAAGAAGAGGCUGGUUUUUCUCCGUGA
rnacentral:rRNA from 1 species